rnacentral:rRNA from 1 species
UACGUAGGGUGCAAGCGUUGUUCGGAAUUACUGGGCGUAAAGGGCGCGUAGGCGGCCAUCUAAGUCAGACGUGAAAUCCCCCGGCUUAACCUGGGAACUGCGUCUGAUACUGGACGGCUCGAGUUUGGGAGAGGGAUGCAGAAUUCCAGGUGUAGCGGUGAAAUGCGUAGAUAUCUGGAGGAAUACCGGUGGCGAAGGCGGCAUCCUGGACUAAUACUGACGCUGAGGCGCGAAAGCUAGGGGAGCAAACGGGG